CAGACAAUGUCUGUGUUAGGGCCAGAGCAAAGGAAUUAGGUUCGUGGCUCAGGAAAAGAAAUGGGUGAGGUUGAAAGCAGUCAAAACCAUAAGUGAACAUUCCAAAGCUUACACCAACCGGCAACGCAGCCACGCGGUGGUGACCCUGGAGGCCUCUUUCCAGGAGGGGAACGGGACAGGCACCCGCACCAUCCCCGUGGAAAGCCUGAGCUGCCGGGCAGCCCCGGUGACAGACGCAGGAGCUAGACCUGGGAAAGGCAGGGUCUGCCCCAGAGGUAAAGGUUCAGACACACAGCGUGCAAAGGAUUCUAAACCUGGUGGAAGCUCUCUGCACAGAGCUUCAUCAGGCAGGGUGCUCUAGAAAUGGACGCCACAGCGUUUUCUCAAACUUGUUAGGAUUACCAGGAACGCACGGGACGUGUGAAACGUUACAAAGUACAAAAGCAGAAGCCCCUUGGCUGCCUCCACCGCCUCCCUUCCUGGCCUGCUCCCUCCGUUCAGGCCUGUGUGUCCCCAUGUGCACACAAGUGUACUGCACAGAAUUAGAACACUGAAUACCCCAGGAACUCAGCUAUACGGCAGGCGAACAAGUGCCCGUCCUGGGCUAGACGUUGCUCUGAGCCCUAGAAUAACAACCGCACGUUUCUGAGAGGUUUAAAGCUUCUUCAUUUAGAAACAUGAAUCUUUUGGGACUUUCCUGGUGGUCCAGUGGUAAAGAAUCCGCCUUCUGGGCUUCCCUGGUGGUGCAGUGGUUGGGGGGUCUGCCUGCCAGUGCAGGGGACACGGGUUCGAGCCCUGGUCCAGGAAGAUCCCACAUGCUGCGGAGCAGCUGAGCCCAUGCGCCACAACUACUGAGCCCGCGAGCCACAACUACUGAAGCCAGCCAAUAAAGCCCGUGCUCCACAACAUGAAAGGCCACCGCGGUGAGAGGCCUGCGCACCUCGGCGAAGAGUAGCCCCCGCUCGCCGCAACCGGAGACGGCCCAUGUGCAGCAACGUAGACCCAACGCAGCCAAAAUUAAAUAAAUAAAAUAAAUAAAUUUAAAAAAAAUUUUAAAAAUCCGCCUUCCAACGCAGGGGACACGGGUUUGAUCCCUGGUCGGGGAACUAAGAUCCCACAUGCCGCGGGGCAACUAAGCCCACGUGCCGCAAACUACAGAGCCCAUGCGCCCUGGAGCCCGUGCACCACAACUAGAGAGAAGCCCGCGUGCCGCAACAAAAGAGCCCACAUGCCACAA